GCACAUCAUAAAUAUAUAAUAUUUACUCGAAUAUUCAUGGAUCCAGUAUUUUUGAAACAAUAGUAAUCUAUGAAGUAAAAUAUAUUCAUUUGCCAGUAUGUGGUGCAGGGUGCUGGACUCGGAAACACAAGGUCCGGGGCGAGGGUAGAUAGCAUAAAAGUUAUGUAAAGAGACUCUCAUGCCUGAGGCUCCAAAGUCCCAGGUUCAAUCCCCUGCACCACCAUAAGCCAGAGCUAAGCAGUGCUCUGGUAAAAAAAAAAAAAAAAGUUGUAUCUGAACUAUAGGGAUUUACUAAUCAGGAAAAUACCUGAAAGGUGUACGUGAUUUUUUUU